ACUCAAAGGAAUUGACGGGGGCCCGCACAAGCGGUGGAGCAUGUGGUUUAAUUCGACGCAACGCGAAGAACCUUACCUGGGCUCGAACGGCUUACGACGACUUUUAGAAAUAGAGGUUUUCCCGCAAGGGACGUGAGUCGAGGUGCUGCAUGGCUGUCGUCAGCUCGUGUCGUGAGAUGUUGGGUUAAGUCCCGCAACGAGCGCAACCCUUGUCCUGUGUUGCAACUAACAGGCACUCUCAGGAGACCGCCAGCGAUAAGCUGGAGGAAGGUGGGGAUGACGUCAAGUCAUCAUGGCCUUUAUGUCCAGGGCUACACACGUGCUACAAUGGACGGUACAAACCGCUGCAAACCUGUGAAGGGGAGCUAAUCGGAAAAAACCGUUCUCAGUUCGGAUUGCAGGCUGCAACUCGCCUGCAUGAAGCUGGAAUCGCUAGUAAUGGUAUAUCAGAACGAUACCGUGAAUACGUUCCCGGGCCUUGUACACACCGCCCGU
rnacentral:rRNA from 1 species